rnacentral:rRNA from 1 species
UGGGGAAUAUUGCACAAUGGGCGCAAGCCUGAUGCAGCCAUGCCGCGUGUAUGAAGAAGGCCUUCGGGUUGUAAAGUACCUUCAGUUGGGAGGAAGGUGGUAAGGUUAAUAACCUUAUCAAUUGACGUUACCGACAGAAGAAGCACCGGCUAACUCCGUGCCAGCAGCCGCGGUAAUACGGAGGGUGCAAGCGUUAAUCGGAAUUACUGGGCGUAAAGCGCACGCAGGCGGUUGAUUGAGUCAGAUGUGAAAUCCCCGGGCUUAACCCGGGAAUGGCAUCUGGUACUGGUCAGCUGGAGUCUUGUAGAGGGGGGUAGAAUUCCAUGUGUAGCGGUGAAAUGCGUAGAGAUGUGGAGGACUACCGGUGGCGAAGGCGGCGCUCUGGUCUGUAACUAACGCUGAGGCUCGAAAGCGUGGGGAGCAAACAGG